rnacentral:tRNA from 1 species
GCAGUCGUGGCCGAGUGGUUAAGGCGAUGGACCAGAAAUCCAUUGGGGUCUCCCCGCACAGGUUCGAAUCCUGUCAACUGCG